UACGAAGGGUGCUAGCGUUGCUCGGAAUCACUGGGCGUAAAGCGCACGUAGGCGGAUUGUUAAGUCAGGGGUGAAAGCCUGGAGCUCAACUCCAGAACUGCCCUUGAUACUGGCAAUCUCGAGUCCGGAAGAGGUAAGUGGAACUCCGAGUGUAGAGGUGAAAUUCGUAGAUAUUCGGAAGAACACCAGUGGCGAAGGCGGCUUACUGGUCCGGUACUGACGCUGAGGUGCGAAAGCGUGGGGAGCAAACAGG
rnacentral:rRNA from 1 species